UACGAAGGGGGGCUAGCGUUGCUCGGAAUCACUGGGCGUAAAGGGUGCGUAGGCGGGUCUUUAAGUCAGGGGUGAAAUCCUGGAGCUCAACUCCAGAACUGCCUUUGAUACUGAGGAUCUUGAGUACGGGAGAGGUGAGUGGAACUGCGAGUGUAGAGGUGAAAUUCGUAGAUAUUCGCAAGAACACCAGUGGCGAAGGCGGCUCACUGGCCCGUAACUGACGCUGAGGCACGAAAGCGUGGGGAGCAAACAGGG
rnacentral:rRNA from 1 species